AUGAAAUGCUUUAAUGAGCACAGAAUUGCAGCUGAUCCCAGCUGAACCUCAAAGUGCUCCACGCUCAGCUUCUCAUCCCCAUCAACUUGUAUUCACAUUCGCUGUGAUUCCGGCUUCUUUCAGGAACAGCCUCCCACAAAACACGGGGAGGAAACUCAUCAACUUCCUGCAGAGACAGCGCAGAAACGCACCCCAAAACCCUUGUCUGUGCUAGCUCGGCUUGGAAGCCCAUGUACGAGUGGGAACAGAGGGGGAGGCUCCAUGGGAAUGCGCUCCAUCACCUGCCAUCCCAGAAACACUGAAAGUCCAACAAGUGAGGCUCAGGUGCCCUGGCCACUUCGGUGAGUGAGCCGACGGGCUCCCCGACAGCACCCACCACUGGACUUGCUUCAGUCUCUCAUUCAGCCAACGUCAUGCCUACCGUGGACAGCACUAGGGACACAGGAGGCCUGUUCCCAGACGCCCGAGUAACAAGCACGGGGUCAGAGGCCUGUGUGCAGAUGGGCACAGAGGAGGGAAAUUCCACGUAUCCGUACCAGGAUCACCAACCCGAGAAACUCUGAAAGCCGGCAGCAGAGUAUUCCAGGGCUAGGAUGCCCGCCCAAGGUCACGUGUGUACCCCGCGCGGUGUGAGCAGACGAGAACCCUCGGCAUUCAAGCUCACACACUCACUGUAACGUUCCUGCCGGGGAGGUUGACGGGGGCAGACCUUCCCAGAGGUUGGGAAAUGAGCUGGAUCCGCACAUGUCCA